UACGUAGGAGGCGAGCGUUGUCCGGAUUUACUGGGCGUAAAGCGCGCGCAGGCGGCAUGGCAAGUAAGGUGUGAAAUCUCCCUGCCUAACGGGGAGGGUGCAUUUUAGACUGCCAAGCUAGAGGACGGUAGAGGGGGGUAGAAUUGCUGGUGUAGCGGUGAAAUGCGUAGAGAUGUGGAGGAACACCGAUGGCGAAGGCAGCCCCCUGGGUCAAGAUUGACGCUCAUGCACGAAAGCGUGGGGAGCAAACAGG
rnacentral:rRNA from 1 species